AGAGUUUGAUCCUGGCUCAGGAUGAACGCUGGCGGCGUGCUUAACACAUGCAAGUCGAACGAACCUUCGGGUUAGUGGCGGACGGGUGAGUAACGCGUGGGAAUCUGCCCUCAGGAGGGGGAUAACGGCUGGAAACGGCCGCUAAUACCCCAUAUGCCGAGAGGUGAAAAGAAAUUCGCCUGAGGAUGAGCCCGCGUCUGAUUAGCUAGUUGGUGGGGUAAGAGCUCACCAAGGCGACGAUCAGUAGCUGGUCUGAGAGGAUGAUCAGCCACACUGGGACUGAGACACGGCCCAGACUCCUACGGGAGGCAGCAGUGUGGAAUUUUCCGCAAUGGGCGAAAGCCUGACGGAGCAACGCCGCGUGAGGGAUGAAGGCCUCUGGGCUGUAAACCUCUUUUCUCAAGGAAGAAGACAUGACGGUACUUGAGGAAUAAGCCACGGCUAAUUCCGUGCCAGCAGCCGCGGUAAUACGGGAGUGGCAAGCGUUAUCCGGAAUUAUUGGGCGUAAAGCGUCCGCAGGCGGCCCUGUAAGUCUGUCGUUAAAGCGUGGAGCUUAACUCCAUUUAAGCGAUGGAAACUACAGGGCUUGAGUGUGGUAGGGGCAGAGGGAAUUCCCGGUGUAGCGGUGAAAUGCGUAGAUAUCGGGAAGAACACCAGUGGCGAAGGCGCUCUGCUGGGCCAUAACUGACGCUCAUGGACGAAAGCCAGGGGAGCGAAAGGGAUUAGAUACCCCUGUAGUCCUGGCCGUAAACGAUGAACACUAGGUGUCGGGGGAAUCGACCCCCUCGGUGUCGUAGCCAACGCGUUAAGUGUUCCGCCUGGGGAGUACGCACGCAAGUGUGAAACUCAAAGGAAUUGACGGGGGCCCGCACAAGCGGUGGAGUAUGUGGUUUAAUUCGAUGCAACGCGAAGAACCUUACCAGGGUUUGACAUCCUGCGAAUCCCUUGGAAACGAGGGAGUGCCUUCGGGAGCGCAGAGACAGGUGGUGCAUGGCUGUCGUCAGCUCGUGUCGUGAGAUGUUGGGUUAAGUCCCGCAACGAGCGCAACCCACGUCUUUAGUUGCCAGCAUUCAGUUGGGCACUCUAGAGAGACCGCCGGUGAUAAACCGGAGGAAGGUGUGGAUGACGUCAAGUCAUCAUGCCCCUUACAUCCUGGGCUACACACGUACUACAAUGCUACGGACAAAGGGCAGCAAGCUCGCGAGAGUUAGCAAAUCCCAUAAACCGUGGCUCAGUUCAGAUCGUAGGCUGCAACUCGCCUACGUGAAGGAGGAAUCGCUAGUAAUCGCAGGUCAGCAUACUGCGGUGAAUACGUUCCCGGGCCUUGUACACACCGCCCGUCACACCAUGGAAGUUGGCCAUGCCCGAAGUCGUUACUCCAACCC
rnacentral:rRNA from 1 species